UGUCACUGACAUCCAAAACCAACGACAGGUCUUUUUCUUUCCCAGAAAACCGAUUAUCUUUGAAAACCCUUAUUAUACCCUCCUCCCUCAACUGUGAGCGGUGAACUCCGACGGAAAGGUCAUCCUCACCGAAAACCAAGAAAGCAUGCACCGAUAUUUUCUCCGGCAUAACCGGAGAAAUGCGAAGAAUGAGGGGUGCAACUUUCUUUCUCGGUGCAACCCAAUAACAUUUGAUAGAGAGGUUGAGGACCCAGAUCAUAUUAUGCAAAGGCCAAAGGGUGGUUCAACAAGGUAUUCAAGGAUGAUUGAUUGAAUUGAAGCGUGAAGUUAGAGCAUUAGAAGAGUGGUUUCAGGUUUUACAUGUACAAGUUGAAGAGUUUUGUAAGGAGAUUGAAAUUGUUAGGAGAGUAAAGAUGCAUUGGUAUUUGGAAUUGUUAUUCUUUUUAUUGUAUGUAGUUGUUGCAUUUAUGUGAA